GAAAUGCGAUACGUAAUGUGAAACGCAACGCAGUGUGAAUCAUCAAAACGUCGAACGCAAAUUGCACUCUCUUCGGAGAGUAUCUCCGUUUCAGUGUCGUUAUCAAUUGGCUUGUGCUAACCCUCCACCGCCUCAUGCGCGAGCGUGCGCUGAGGCUAUAAGGUAGAGGGCUAGGACAGAGGAUGGGCUUGCACACGUGUGCGUGUGUCACGUGUGUGCUCGCCUGAAGUACUCAAGUGGUCCCCCAUCCCCGGUGCUGCUCAGCCGUUUUCAGGGGCGGUGGUUUGUGUUUGCGCACAUUUGUGUCAAUUUAUAUCCGCCACCGCCAAAGACAGAGCAGCAGCGUCGAGAAAAGAGACUAUGCACAUCUCACAUCAUGUUACGACCUGAAAUCGGAGAAGAGCACCCCCUGGACUUAA
rnacentral:misc_RNA from 1 species